rnacentral:lncRNA from 1 species
UUUGAGUGAGCUGAAAUAUUUCUAGCUUUAAGAUCAUUCACUCUAUAUAUAUUCUGAUGGAAGUCUUUAAGAAUGUAGGAGAGAAAAACAUAUAGAUGAUCAUUGAGGUAUAUAUAUUUAUAGAACUCAAUUUCUUAAUCAUAGUUUUUCAGCAAUGUAUACAUGAAACACAAUAAAUCUUUUUAAUAUCAUAAUAAAAUCAUAUAUUUAGAA